UUGAACGGUUUGGGAGAUUCGACGCCUGCUGUUUUAGGCAUUUGUAACAAUCCUGGUAGUAAUCCGACAAUCUAGUCUUUAGAGACAAAAGCAAAUGUGUAGCCUUUGCUUUAUUGUUGUCGUGACUAACGCCGUUGACUUGAAGGAAUCAGUUCAUUUAUGUCGCGCGUUUCAUCCGGACUACGAUAAACGUUUUAUAUGGUUUCCACACUGACUGGAGUGACCUUACUUGGGGCCAAAGCUGGACAUGUUCUAGUAUCUCAUUGAGAAGCUGCCAAGCUGGACGAGUCCAGUUCUGAGUGCUCGAGAACAGACCCUACAGAAGCCGUACACCUUGGACCCAUCCCGGAAGAGCAGUAUGUAGGCGAAGGAACUGAGAAACCAGUGCCUCUAGCGCCACACGCCCGCUACAGGGACGCAGAAACAAUCACAGAUGUUUGUAACAGCACAGAGCUCCCUGAGGUGGAGAUUAUCAGUCUGCUGGAGGAGCAGUUGCCGGUCUACAGGCUGAGGGCAGACUGUGUGUACGGCUAUGAGCACGACGACUGGAUCCACACACCUCUCAUCUCACCCGACACACGCAUAGACCUCACCUCUGAGCAGAUUGAGGAAACCCUCAACUACUUUUGUGAGUGA